CAGCCGCCACGGUAAUACGUAGGUGGCAAGCGUUGUCCGGAUUUAUUGGGCGUAAAGCGAGCGCAGGCGGUUCCUUAAGUCUGAUGUGAAAGCCCCCGGCUCAACCGGGGAGGGUCAUUGGAAACUGGGGAACUUGAGUGCAGAAGAGGAGAGUGGAAUUCCAUGUGUAGCGGUGAAAUGCGUAGAUAUAUGGAGGAACACCAGUGGCGAAGGCGACUCUCUGGUCUGUAACUGACGCUGAGGCCCGAAAGCGUGGGUAGCAAACAGGAUUAGAUACCCCCGUAGUCCCUGUCUCUUAUAC
rnacentral:rRNA from 1 species